AUGUGCACCCCCCUUACAAAAAAAAAUGAAGACAAAAAGAUUGAGGCCCAAGUAGCAAUGACCUAAUCCGGCCCAACCAAAUCCUAAGACAUGGCAGGCGCCAUCAGCUUCAUGGCGGGCGCCAUGAUGUCUGGAGCUUUAAUGGGAAGAAUCCUCAUUUUUCACCAUUUUCACCUUCUUCAACCUCUUCAAACCCAUUUUC
rnacentral:lncRNA from 1 species